rnacentral:lncRNA from 1 species
AAUUAUAUCUCCAAAAGUGUGUUCUUUUAAAUUUAAGUUUACAUAACGGAUUAUUGGAUAAGCUUGACUCUUUCUCUUAAAACAUCUAAUAAGAGAAGCCCUUAUGAUAAAAAUCAGUGAAAUCGCAUCCAAGUCUUGAUUCCUUUUGCAUUUCACAUUAUUCCACAUGAAAUUGAUUCCUCAGUUAUUGACCUUUUCCUAUUGGUUUUUCAAUAAUAGUUCACAUAUAUUUGCACUGGUGCUUUUCUAAAACUUCAUGUUAUUGUUUUUUAUUUUUAUUAUUGCUACAAUAAUACAAUGUCACUUUAUCAAAAUCUACUUGUGUAAAAUUGGAAGAGACAUAAUACCCCUAAGUAAUUUGAAGAACAAAAAUCUCUUUAACUUAAAUGUAUUUUUGAAGCUUUGUGAAGGAAAUGAUACUAACUUAGAAAGGAUAAAAUAUUUAAUGUUCAAUGCAUUAUUUAAUAUAAAAUAAUAUGAACUAAGUAAUUCUUAAAAACCUCACAAUAUUCCAUUCUUAUUUUGAAAAAUUUGUAGAAGUUAGAUGAAACAACAUUUUCAGUCUCAUAGAAUUGACCUGGUAUGUUGAGCUUAUCAUCCUUGAAGCUUCUUUAGGGUUACCUGGCCAAGGGUCUUUGCCCAGGAUUUGUCUUUAUUAAAUUCAAAGUACUACUCACUUCAGCAGCAAAUAUACUAAAAUUGUGAUGAUACAGAGAAGAUUACCAUGGCCCCUACACAAAGAUGACACACAAAUUCAUGAAGCAUUCUAUAUUUUUCCAGAAAAGAUUGGGAUUCUAUUUCCAAAGUGCUGAAAGAAAAAAAAAACUGUCAACCCAGAAUUUUGUAUCCUGCCAGAAUAAGCUUUAUAAAUGAAAGAGAAAUGAAGUAUUUCCCAGACAAGCAAACGCUGAAAUAAUUCAUCAUCACUAGACCAAACUUACAAGAAAUGCUCAAAGGAGUUCUUAACAUGGAAAAUAAAAGGUUGACACUCAUCAUCAUAAAAAUACAUGAAAAUAUAAAACUCAGAGGUCUUAUUUAAAAAUUACACAAAGCAAGGAAAUGAAGAAAGCAAGUAGGAAACAUUACAAAACCCCACAAAUCCAUAAAGACACACACAAAAAAAAAAAACAGAAAAAAAAUCAAAAGAAACAAAGAAUCUACAAAGCAACUAGAUAACAAUGAACAUUAUGGCAGGAAAUAAAUUCACAUAUAUAUUUAUCAACUUGAAUAUAAAUUGAUUAAAUGCACCACUUAAAAGAUACAAAUUGGUGGAAUGGAUUAAAAACAAACCAUAAUUCAACUACAUGCUGCUUACAAGAAACUUACCUUACUUGUAAAGACACAUAGGGUGGUGGUAAAGAGAUGGAAAGGGAUAUUCCACACACACAGAAACCAAAAGCAGGCAGGAAUAGCUAUACUUAUAUCAGAUAAGACAGAUUUUACACUGACAACAGUAAAAAAAUAAAUGACAAACAAGGCCAUUAGAUAAUGAAUGAUAGAGUUUGAUUCAACAAGAAUAUAUAACAAUCUUAACUAUAUAUGUACUCAACACCAGAUAACCCAGAUUCAUAAAACAAACAUUACCAGACCUAAAGAAAGAGACAUACAGCAAUACAAUAAUAGUAGGGGACUUCAACAGCCCACUGAUAGCACUAGACACAUCAAGACAGGAAAUCUACCAAGAAACUGUGGACUUAAAUUGGACUUUAGACCAAAUUAAUCCAAAAGACAUUUACAGAACAUGCUACUCAACAAAUGCAGAAUAUACAUUUUUCUUAUCAGUGCAUGAAACAUCGUGCAAAAUAGACCAUAAUUUAGUCCAUCAAACAAGUCUCAAUAAACUUUUGAAAAUUGAUAUUAUAUCAACUAUAUUCUCAGAUCAUAGUGGAAUAAAACUAGAAAUCAAUUCAAAGAGGAACUGUCAAAACUACAUAAAUACAUUAAAAUUGAACAAUUAAAUGAAUGAUCUUUGGGCCAAUUAUGAAAUUAAGAGAGGAAUUUAAAAAUCUUUCAAAAUAAAU